GAUGAACGCUGGCGGCGUGCCUAAUACAUGCAAGUCGAGCGAAUGGAUUAAGAGCUUGCUCUUAUGAAGUUAGCGGCGGACGGGUGAGUAACACGUGGGUAACCUGCCCAUAAGACUGGGAUAACUCCGGGAAACCGGGGCUAAUACCGGAUAACAUUUUGAACCGCAUGGUUCGAAAUUGAAAGGCGGCUUCGGCUGUCACUUAUGGAUGGACCCGCGUCGCAUUAGCUAGUUGGUGAGGUAACGGCUCACCAAGGCAACGAUGCGUAGCCGACCUGAGAGGGUGAUCGGCCACACUGGGACUGAGACACGGCCCAGACUCCUACGGGAGGCAGCAGUAGGGAAUCUUCCGCAAUGGACGAAAGUCUGACGGAGCAACGCCGCGUGAGUGAUGAAGGCUUUCGGGUCAUAAAACUCUGUUGUUAGGGAAGAACAAGUGCUAGUUGAAUAAGCUGGCACCUUGACGGUACCUAACCAGAAAGCCGCGGCUAACUACGUGCCAGCAGCCGCCGUAA
rnacentral:rRNA from 1 species